UUCUGUUACUAGUUUGAAAAAGGUGAAAUAUUAAAUUUAAAGUUUUAUACGUAAAAUGUUUAUUUUUAUUUGUUGCCCCUUAGAAAAAAUAAGCUGGCUAUAACGGUUCUGUCGCUGCGUUAAAAAGAUGGGAAAUCGACCCUUUGAAUAAUCUACAAGGUUACUGUUUUAGUUUACAAAUUUCUUCUUAAAACUAUGGGGUGUUUGGUAUCGUUAAACAGCUUUUAUUAUUAUUAUUAAUAUUAUUAUAAAAAAGAAACAAUUAUAUUGUAUGGCUCACUACUUAAUAUAUUUAAAAAAAAACACACACGCUUAAAACAAAGGCUUUUUUUUUUUUUUAUUGGCCCAGCAGGAAGCAGGGGUGGGGCUUAAGGUCCAACCCUGAAUAGAUCCUUUAUAAGCAGCACAUUAAAUGUGUCUAACCAGUACCGUCUUUUCGUUUCAACAAUGAGCUGCGAUUCAAGGGGAUUGAAUGUCAUGGCCGAAAAUACAGAAUACCUGAUGACCCCUGAAGAAGAGGAUUACUACAUAAAGGCUCUUGAUUAUGAUAUGUUUCCCAUUGAUACAACCAUUUCUCAAUUAAACAAUAAACCCUCUAUUCCUAAUAUACAAACAGUUAAGGCGCAAGUCCUUCAACCCAAAGAAGGUCGGGCAUAUGAUCGAGAUAUCGAGGCUUUGUAAUCCUACUGCAUUCUACACGCCUGAAGGAUGCUUCCCCAUACCAGCAACCAACGCUUUUGCCCCUAGGAAGAAACAGCGGCUGUUGAAAUCGACAUACCCCCCUUCGGCUGAGAGGGUUGUGAACAAUAAGAGGGUCAUUCACAGGAAGGAUGAUGUCAAGAGACAUUUAAUGUAUUCUGAGGAAAUUAGUCCCCCCCCAGACGUCUACAGUAUCCACUCAAACGGUUCCUAACCAGUCUGUCUAUCGCUUAACCCUUCUUAAAGUGUUGUUACAGCAGGUUGUUGCUAACAUAGAACAAACCCUUAAGGUUUUGAGGGCUGCUGGUAUUUGAACUUUUUUUUUUUUUUUUUUAAAUGGAUAAGUCUAAAAAGCAUACCUGUAAGAAAAGGCAUAGUGAAAUUGAUGUACAUGGAAUAAAUAAUCUUAAAAAGAUUCCUUCUAAUACUACCCUGGUUGUUUCUGGUAAAUCCCCAGAGAGCUUACUUAAAGACUCUAAUGUAUCAGCUACUGGACCAAUGCCGCAACCCCUCAAAACGACACCUCCGCCUCUAAGCGAUGGCGAAAAUUUGGAUGCUCUAAAUAACCUGUUAAAUGAUUUAAAUCAUGUUGAUUGUAAUCUUGAGAUCCUAGAGGGAAUGGUGUCAGAUACGUGUAAAGCACUGACAAGCCCUGUUCAUGAUAGGAUAUCCCAGAAUCCUACUGAGGCCCCUGAAAGGGUUACUAAUUUUGAUGUAAUGCAUCAGAUGAUUAAUCUUGAU